rnacentral:tRNA from 1 species
GGAGAGGUGUCUGAGCGGCCGAAGGAGCGCGCUUGGAAAGCGCGUAGGCGGCUAAACACUGCCUCGCGGGUUCAAAUCCCGCCCUCUCCGCCA